AGCUCUCAUCUUAAAGAGGGAAGCAGCUCACAUGACUCCCAACAACACGACAACUUAGAAAACCACAGCAGUGCAACGCAGGAGAGGCAGUGCAACCGAGGAUGAGCGCAGGAGAACCGUACAGGCAUCGUUCAUCGCAUGAAGGAUAGCAAGUCAAAAUGCUAUGUCUGCCCUGGUCCCCCAGAUCGUGUGCCCAAGAGAUGGAAGGACAGUAGUGAGGACGAAAGGAGCUGUCACGGACCUCCAGUAAGGAACUAUGCCUGCACCUGCACUGCACAUGGCAAGAAUGUACCCAAGUGAACAUUAGGCCUAGCCUAGAGGCUCUGCAAAGUCAAAGCCAAGUCAGACCCAAUGUCUCUCCACGGUCCCCGGACUAUACUGUGUGAGCUGAAAUCUGUCUGCUCCACUCCUUCUUGAGCUCCAUUGACAUACCUGGAUAUUAUAGUUCUGAGGACUUGGUCAGUUUCCAGUUAUACAAACCUGAAGAUGAUUGUGUUUUUCCUUUUCAUUCAAGGUAGAAAGUUUAAUUUGAAAGGUCAGAGGAACUAGCAAGAUUGGACAAGCUAGAGGACCAACAGCCAUCUGGCCUGAUAAAGUAAGGGUUAAUUUAAAUCACCCUAGGCCAGAGAAUGGCUUAGCUUAAUCAAACUGGAACCAAGGUCUGGCUACAGCCAAAACCCAAGUGGGAAAUCUAAAACCACAAGUCACAUUUGAUUUUCGUCCAUGGCAACACUUCAAAACCCAGCUUUCUGUGCAUGAGCAUCCAGCACAGGGGCCUUGGGGGUCCUUGCACUCUGGUGGGUCUGUGCAUCCAGAGCAUCAGGACCGAUCAACUCACUCAAAUAGCCUGGAAGGGCAGGAAGAAAGGGCCAAGGAUGAAGGGGUGGGGCAAGCUCAUGUCAGCAUCUAAGUUGGACACACCAGGGUGUCAUCCUCUUACUGAAUGAGACACACCAGGGUGUCAUCCUCUUUACCUUCUCACUCAGAAGCUUUCGAACUGCCCCAAGGAAAAAUAGUCCAGGUCUUGUGUGUGACUGUUUACCUGCAUAGAGAUCUGAGUGUGUGUGUGCUUGAAAAUAAGACACAGGUUGAUUUUAAUGAAUACAACGAACAAGCCCAGCAGCCAGAGUAUAUAAAGAACUAACUUUGACAACUACAAAGUAAAAGUCAGCAAGGCAGAAAGACAGGCAAAAGGAUACAGAAGCAUUUCCCAUAAAAGAGGCUGCGACACAGUCAGUAAGUCUCAGGGGUGACGCACAGCGAGGUGUCAGACGUAAGGUCCUACAGCAUAGGUUAUUAUGAAGAUGUGGAGGGAGGCUUUCUCCUGGCUUCUGAAGGGGAAGCAGUCAGUAGGCCCACCUUGGAAAUCAGUUUAUUAAUAAGUAAUCCACCUCCUGCUCAAGAGACCAAUAAACAAACAAAAAAAUGUAUUCUGGGGCAAUGUGGGGGGGGGGGGGAGUUAAGAACUGACCCAAAUGGUCAAAUCAGAGAGAGUUUUAACAAUGUAAUACUGAACAGCCUGGGUCAGGUUUUCCUACAAAGAGCCACUUAGUUACGUAAUGGAGGUUUUGCCAAUCACUUUGAUUUUCAUCUGUACUGUAAUGACUUGACCUGGCUAUUGUGCUGGUACUUGAUAAACAACGGACACAGCUGUGUCCUUCUAAUAAAACUUUAUUUACAAAUAC
ensembl:antisense